UACGAAGGGGGCGAGCGUUGUUCGGAUUUACUGGGCGUAAAGGGCGCGUAGGCGGCCUUCCAAGUCGAGUGUGAAAGCCCCGGGCUCAACCUGGGAGGUGCGCUCGAGACUGGCGGGCUGGAGUUCGGGAGAGGAGCGUGGAAUUCCCAGUGUAGAGGUGAAAUUCGUAGAUAUUGGGAAGAACACCGGUGGCGAAGGCGGCGCUCUGGACCGAGACUGACGCUGAGGCGCGAAGGCGUGGGGAGCGAGCCGG
rnacentral:rRNA from 1 species